AUCCAGAUCAUUCUUCGCCUGAGCAGAAGCAGCAACCCCCUUCUUCUGACCAUUCCUUUUGCCAUCACUACUCUCCAAAACAGGACUUCCCACGAUAGGAAAAGCAAUUUCCGUCUUCUCGCUAGUCGUUUCUCCAUCAUCAAGGUCAUUCCUUUCUACAGAAUUACUCCCCUCGGUCUCUAAACCAGGCUUUUCCGGAGCAUAAGCAGUGUUUUCAUUGUCCACGUUCAGCUUCUUACGGCCAUCACUUUCCGUCGAUUCAUCAUUCUUCGCCUCAGCAGCAGAAACAGAUU
rnacentral:lncRNA from 1 species